rnacentral:rRNA from 1 species
UACGUAGGCAGCGAGCGUUGUUCGGAGUUACUGGGCGUAAAGGGUGUGUAGGCGGUUGCUUAAGUUUGGUGUGAAAUCUCCCGGCUCAACCGGGAGGGCGCGCCGAAUACUGAGUGACUAGAGUGCGGGAGAGGAAAGUGGAAUUCCUGGUGUAGCGGUGAAAUGCGUAGAUAUCAGGAGGAACACCGGUGGUGUAGACGGCUUUCUGGACCGUAACUGACGCUGAGACACGAAAGCGUGGGUAGCAAACAGG